rnacentral:lncRNA from 1 species
CAUUUCAUGCAUAAUUUGCAUAAACAAGUUUCUUCUGCCAGAUGUCUUAUCAGUUAUUCUUCUAUGCUUCAGUCAAGCUGACUCAUCGAUACAACACCCGCGCAAAUUAACCGAGAAUCAUGGAGCACUUAGAGCAAGAGAACCAAGAACUGAAGGACGAGAUUGCUCGUCUAACUACUAUGAUGGAGUCUGUUCUAGCUGCUCAGAACCAACCUUCUCC